AUGUCUUGCGCGGCGGCGGAGGCCGGCCUGGUGGCCAUGGACUGCGUGGUGGUGUGCUGCUGCUGCCCGUGCCUGGUGCUGCAGAUCACCGUGUUCCUCUUCGUCCGGCUGCCCCGGAAGGUGGUGGUCAAGUCCAAGAGGGUCUUUCUGCGGCGAUGGCACAGGAGGAGGAGGAGAAGAUCGGCAUCGGCAGCCGCGAAGAGGCUCUCCAGAAGCGGCAGCACGGCCUCGUCCUCCGGCAUGAGGCGCCUCGAGGAGCUGCUGGACGGCGGCAGCGACGGCGACGUCCGCGGUAGCUGGAAAGAGAAAUGCUUCGCCAUGGACGACGAUGAUGGCGGCGGCGGCUGGAAGCAGAGGUGCUUCGCCGUCGACGGCUGCGACGACGACGACGGCGUGUGGGAGGCGCUGGUGGAGCAGGAGGGGCUCUUCUGGUUCGGGAGCUUCUGGGGCCGGACGGAGCAGGGCGACCCGGUUUCUGCGGAGGACCAGAUGUACGCAGGCUUGAGCUUGCCGGUAGUCCUAGAGAGAGUGCGCGAUUAG
rnacentral:rRNA from 1 species